rnacentral:rRNA from 1 species
GCCGUUCUCAGUUCGGAUCGGAGUCUGCAACCCGACUCCGUGAAGCUGGAUUCGCUAGUAAUCGCGCAUCAGCCAUGGCGCGGUGAAUACGUUCCCGGGCCUUGUACACACCGCCCGUCAAGCCAUGGGAGCCGGGGGUGCUUGAAGUGCGUCGCCGUGAGGCGCGCCCUAGAGCAAAACCGGUGACUGGGGCUAAGUCGUAACAAGGUAUC